UACGAAGGGGGCUAGCGUUGCUCGGAAUCACUGGGCGUAAAGGGUGCGUAGGCGGGUCUUUAAGUCAGGGGUGAAAUCCUGGAGCUCAACUCCAGAACUGCCUUUGAUACUGAGGAUCUUGAGUACGGGAGAGGUGAGUGGAACUGCGAGUGUAGAGGUGAAAUUCGUAGAUAUUCGCAAGAACACCAGUGGCGAAGGCGGCUCACUGGCCCGGAACUGACGCUGAGGUGCGAAAGCGUGGGGAGCAAACAGG
rnacentral:rRNA from 1 species